AUUCCAUAAUUUGAUGGCUGUGUACAAUGUUUACAUAGGUACAUCCUUACGUUGCCACUGGUAACAAAAACUCGAAAUUCGGUAUUAGAAAUGAAAAGUUGCAAUGGUUUCUUGAUGCUGUCAAGGCACAUCCCGACGAGCUUAAGCUUGUCGGGGCCCAUUGCCAUCUUGGUUCAACCAUCACCAAGGUGGACAUAUUCAGAGAUGCUGCAGAACUAAUGGUCAACUACAUU